rnacentral:rRNA from 1 species
AGAGUUUGAUCCUGGCUCAGGAUGAACGCUAGCGGCAGGCUUAACACAUGCAAGUCGAGGGGUAACAGGGAAAAGCUUGCUUUUCCGCUGACGACCGGCGCACGGGUGCGUAACACGUAUGCAACCUACCUCUUACUGAAGGAUAGCCCAGAGAAAUUUGGAUUAAUACUUCAUAACACCACAAGAUCGCAUGAUCUAAUGGUUAAAGGUUACGGUAAGAGAUGGGCAUGCGGCCUAUUAGUUUGUUGGUGAGGUAAUGGCUCACCAAGACUACGAUAGGUAGGGGGUCUGAGAGGAUUAUCCCCCACACUGGUACUGAGACACGGACCAGACUCCUACGGGAGGCAGCAGUGAGGAAUAUUGCGCAAUGGACGAAAGUCUGACGCAGCCAUGCCGCGUGAAGGAUGACGGCGCUACGCGUUGUAAACUUCUUUUAUAUACCAAGAAACCUUCGGACGUGUCCGAAGCUGACGGUAGUAUAUGAAUAAGCACCGGCUAACUCCGUGCCAGCAGCCGCGGUAAUACGGAGGGUGCAAGCGUUAUCCGGAUUUAUUGGGUUUAAAGGGUCCGUAGGCGGAUCAUUAAGUCAGUGGUGAAAGCCGACAGCUCAACUGUCGAACUGCCAUUGAUACUGGUGAUCUUGAGUACGGUUGAAGUAGGCGGAAUAUGACAUGUAGCGGUGAAAUGCUUAGAUAUGUCAUAGAACACCGAUUGCGAAGGCAGCCUACUAAGCCGUUACUGACGCUGAGGGACGAAAGUGUGGGGAGCGAACAGGAUUAGAUACCCUGGUAGUCCACACCGUAAACGAUGAUUACUCGGUAUUGGCUUUAUUGUCAGUGCCCAAAAACUCAAAGGAAUUGACGGGGGCCCGCACAAGCGGUGGAGCAUGUGGUUUAAUUCGAUGAUACGCGAGGAACCUUACCAGGGCUUAAAUGUAGAACGACCGGGGUGGAAACACCCCCUUUUUCGAACGGUCUACAAGGUGCUGCAUGGUUGUCGUCAGCUCGUGCUGUGAAGUGUCGGGUUAAGUCCCAUAACGAGCGCAACCCCUAUUUCUAGUUGCCAGCGGUUCGGCCGGGGACUCUAGAGAAACUGCCAGCGUAAGCUGUGAGGAAGGUGGGGACGACGUCAAAUCAUCACGGCCCUUACGUCCUGGGCCACACACGUGCUACAAUGGUGGGGACAACGAGUUGCCAACCCGCGAGGGUGAGCUAAUCUCUCAAACCCCAUCUCAGUUCGGAUCGGAGUCUGCAACUCGACUCCGUGAAGUUGGAAUCGCUAGUAAUCGCGCAUCAGCCAUGGCGCGGUGAAUACGUUCCCGGGCCUUGUACACACCGCCCGUCAAGCCAUGGAAUCUGGGGGCGCCUGAAGUCAGUAACCGCAAGGAGCUGCCUAGGGCGAAUCUGGUAACUAGGGCUAAGUCGUAACAAGGUAGCCGUACCGGAAGGUGCGGCUG